GGUGCAGCCUAGACGAAAAGAAAAAUGUUUUAUUGCCAGUGUUUAAACUCCUAACAACGGAAUGUGUCUCUGAGACCAUGUGUAUGGAUACACGUGUACUUAAAACAGCCCCGCCUGUGUGUAGAGCACUUGCUGUUUGUCAACGCUUUACAGGAACUAUUGCACUUAAGCCUCAGAACAACUUUAUGAGAUUGGAUUCGGGAAAUUGGACAGUGUUGCAGGUACUGAAUGAUGUAGGCAUGCUGAUGUCCACAAAAGUGAGAACUGGUAAACUUCUUCUCAGCCUCCCUUGCAGCUGGGUGUGGGCAUGUGACCAAGUUAGAGCGAUGGAAUAAGAACAGCAGUUCUAUGCACAACUUUUGAGCCUCCUAAAAAUACUACCCUUCUAAAAGACUGUCAGACAAGUCCACCUGGGAGGCCUUGGAAGUUUGGUACUGAAAGCCUAGUGUCCCUAUGAUGCACAACUCCAGCCAUCAUGCACUAUUUACAUUGUAAUAUAUGUAAAUGGCAUUUCCUGAAGCAAGAUUAAGAAGCUACAGAAUGUAUCUUCCAGAAGGACAGGCCACUAUCUUUUUUCAGUUGACUCCAAUGCCUAGCAAAUGACUGACAUACAAAAGAUGUUCAGUAAGAAUUAGGAUUGGUUCCUGGAAGUGGAACUACUAUAUCAAAUAUUUGGACAUUUUUAAGACCCCAGAAAGGUAAUAUAGUAAUAAAUGUGAUUGUAAAUUUUAACACAUUCUUAGCAACACUAGUUAUUAACACUUAUUUUCAUUAUUUGUCAGUCUGAUGGGGAGACUCAUUGUGUAAUUUGAUAAAAUUGCAUUUUUUAUACUCAUAUUAAUAAUUUUACUACCUCAA